rnacentral:rRNA from 1 species
AAGGUGGCCUGUGAGGGUUGCUGGAGGUAUCAGAAGUGCGAAUGCUGACAUAAGUAACGAUAAAGCGGGUGAAAAGCCCGCUCGCCGGAAGACCAAGGGUUCCUGUCCAACGUUAAUCGGGGCAGGGUGAGUCGACCCCUAAGGCGAGGCCGAAAGGCGUAGUCGAUGGGAAACAGGUUAAUAUUCCUGUACUUGGUGUUACUGCGAAGGGGGGACGGAGAAGGCUAUGUUGGCCGGGCGACGGUUGUCCCGGUUUAAGCGUGUAGGUGUGUGUUCCAGGUAAAUCCGGUUCACUUUAACACUGAGGCGUGAUGACGAGGCACUACGGUGCUGAAGCAACAAAUGCCCUGCUUCCAGGAAAAGCCUCUAAGCAUCAGGUAACAUCAAAUCGUACCCCAAACCGACACAGGUGGUCAGGUAGAGAAUACCAAGGCGCUUGAGAGAACUCGGGUGAAGGAACUAGGCAAAAUGGUGCCGUAACUUCGGGAGAAGGCACGCUGACACGUAGGUGAAGUGAUUUACUCAUGGAGCUGAAGUCAGUCGAAGAUACCAGCUGGCUGCAACUGUUUAUUAAAAACACAGCACUGUGCAAACACGAAAGUGGACGUAUACGGUGUGACGCCUGCCCGGUGCCGGAAGGUUAAUUGAUGGGGUCAGCGCAAGCGAAGCUCCUGAUCGAAGCCCCGGUAAACGGCGGCCGUAACUAUAACGGUCCUAAGGUAGCGAAAUUCCUUGUCGGGUAAGUUCCGACCUGCACGAAUGGCGUAAUGAUGGCCAGGCUGUCUCCACCCGAGACUCAGUGAAAUUGAACUCGCUGUGAAGAUGCAGUGUACCCGCGGCAAGACGGAAAGACCCCGUGAACCUUUACUAUAGCUUGACACUGAACAUUGAGCCUUGAUGUGUAGGAUAGGUGGGAGGCUUUGAAGUGUGGACGCCAGUCUGCAUGGAGCCGACCUUGAAAUACCACCCUUUAAUGUUUGAUGUUCUAACGUGGACCCGUAAUCCGGGUUGCGGACAGUGUCUGGUGGGUAGUUUGACUGGGGCGGUCUCCUCCUAAAGAGUAACGGAGGAGCACGAAGGUUGGCUAAUCCUGGUCGGACAUCAGGAGGUUAGUGCAAUGGCAUAAGCCAGCUUGACUGCGAGCGUGACGGCGCGAGCAGGUGCGAAAGCAGGUCAUAGUGAUCCGGUGGUUCUGAAUGGAAGGGCCAUCGCUCAACGGAUAAAAGGUACUCCGGGGAUAACAGGCUGAUACCGCCCAAGAGUUCAUAUCGACGGCGGUGUUUGGCACCUCGAUGUCGGCUCAUCACAUCCUGGGGCUGAAGUAGGUCCCAAGGGUAUGGCUGUUCGCCAUUUAAAGUGGUACGCGAGCUGGGUUUAGAACGUCGUGAGACAGUUCGGUCCCUAUCUGCCGUGGGCGCUGGAGAACUGAGGGGGGCUGCUCCUAGUACGAGAGGACCGGAGUGGACGCAUCACUGGUGUUCGGGUUGUCAUGCCAAUGGCACUGCCCGGUAGCUAAAUGCGGAAGAGAUAAGUGCUGAAAGCAUCUAAGCACGAAACUUGCCCCGAGAUGAGUUCU